CAGCAGUGGGGAAUAUUGCGCAAUGGGGGAAACCCUGACGCAGCGACGCCGCGUGCGGGAAGAAGGCCUUCGGGUCGUAAACCGCUGUCAGGAGGGAAGAAACUGUUGGAGUCGAAUAGGCUCUUUCACCUGACGGUACCUCCAGAGGAAGGCCCGGGUAAAUUAGUGGCCGCCGCCGGGGUAAUUCGUUGGGGGCAGGCGUUUUUCGGGUUUUCUUGGGGUAAAGGGUGGGUGGGCGAUGUUGUAAGUUAGAUGUGAAAUCCCUCGGCUCAACCUAGGAAUUGCGUUUGAAACUGCUGUGCUAGAGUCUCGGAGAGGUUGGCGGAAUUCCAAGUGUAGGAGUGAAAUCCGUAAAUAUUUGGAGGAACACCGGUGGCGAAGGCGGCUUCCUGGACGAGUACUGACGCUGAGGUACGAAAGCGUGGGGAGCAAACAGGAUUAAAUACCCUGGUAGUCCACGCCGUAAACGAUGGAUAUUAGGUGUCGGGGGUAACCCUUCGGUGCCGCAAUUAACGCAUUAAAUAUCCCGCCUGGGGAGUACGGUCGCAAGGAUGAAACUCAAAGGAAUUGACGGGGGCCCGCACAAGCGGUGGAGUAUGUGGUUUAUUUCGAUGCAACGCGAAGAAACUUACCUAGGCUUGACAUCCUCCGAAGUCUUUUUAAACGAAGAUGUUCUCUUUGGGGAACUCAGUGACAGGUGGUGCAUGGUUGUUGUCAGCUCGUGCCGUGAGGUGUUGGGUUAAGUCCCCCAACGAGCGCAACCCCUAUUCUUAGUUGCCAUCACAUAAAGGUGGGCCCUUUAGUGAGGCUGCCCGUGUCAAACGGGAGGAAGGUGGGGGAGACGUCAAGUCAUCAUGCCCCUUAUGCCUUGGGCUACACACGUACUACAAUGGUGCAUACAAAGGGCAGCGAGUCCGUGAGGUGGAGCAAAUCUCAAAAAACGCAUCCCAGUUCGGAUUGCAGUCUGCAACUCGCCUACAUGAAGUUGGAUUCUCUAGUAAUUCC
rnacentral:rRNA from 1 species